GAAGCAUGAAGCUUUGGUGUGGUUGCAAUCGAUGGGAAAAAGAUCGAGGUGUAACCGCUGGAUUUCAUAUAGAUCUGGUGGCGAUGACUAGAUUGAUGAGGUUUUGGUUGGAAUUCGCGACUGGAUGCUUAAGUUUAGGAAAACAAGGGUUUGGUAUAAUAGGGUUUUGGUUGCUGUUUUUCAGAAGUAAAAGGCGGAGGUGCUUCUAGGCCUCAACUGGGUCAUGGGUUUCGAAGUGAUCUAUUUAAGAUGGUUGCAGAUAUGAAGCCUG